UACGUAGGGUGCGAGCGUUAAUCGGAAUUACUGGGCGUAAAGCGUGCGCAGGCGGUUUUGUAAGCCAGUCGUGAAAUCCCCGGGCUUAACCUGGGAAUGGCGAUUGGGACUGCAAGGCUUGAGUAUGGCAGAGGAGACUGGAAUUCCUGGUGUAGCAGUGAAAUGCGUAGAUAUCAGGAGGAAUACCGAUGGCGAAGGCAGGUCUCUGGGCUGAUACUGACGCUCAUGCACGAAAGCGUGGGGAGCAAACAGGAUUAGAAACCCUAGUAGUCC
rnacentral:rRNA from 1 species